UAACUAGUUGAACAAUAAAAUUGGAAUAAAUGAUUGCCCUGUAGCUUACCAUUAUAUGCAUAUGUUCAUGAUAAGACUAUUAUUAGAAAUUGCAAUGCCAGACGAGACUACUUUUUUAUCUUGUUAUUGUUUUAUGGGUGCCAAUUAAAAAACUGUUCUCAUCACAGACAGGCAAAACAGAUCAUGCAGCUGAGAGAAGUCUGCUAUAGUUGAUCAAAGGAAGGGAAAGAGAAAUGAAAGGGAUGAAACAAUUGAGGAAAAAAGCCAGCUAUGAAGUGCCCCUCACAGGAGAACAAGACAGCAUCUUUGAACUUGAGAAACUUGAAGCCAAUAUUUGAAGAAGCAUUCCUGUUUCUUCCC
rnacentral:lncRNA from 1 species